rnacentral:rRNA from 1 species
AGCAGCCGCGGUAAUUCCAGCUCCAAUAGCGUAUAUUAAAGUUGUUGCAGUUAAAAAGCUCGUAGUUGAAUUUCGGGAUCAAGUCGUCGGUCGUGCCUCGGUACGCACUGGUGACAUUGGUUUCUCCCUUCUGAAGAACCUUGAUGUCAUUAAUUUGGUGUCUUGGGGAAUCAGGACUGUUACUUUGAAAAAAUUAGAGUGUUUAAAGCAAGCCCACGCUUGAAUACAUUAGCAUGGAAUAAUGAAAUAGGACGUUUGAUUCUAUUUUGUUGGUUUCUAGGAUCGACGUAAUGAUUAAUAGGGAUAGUUGGGGGCAUUAGUAUUCAAUUGUCAGAGGUGAAAUUCUUGGAUUUAUUGAAGACUAACUACUGCGAAAGCAUUUGCCAAGGAUGUUUUCAUUAAUCAAGAACGAAAGCUAGGGGAUCGAAGACGAUCAGAUACCGUCGUAGUCUUAACCAUAAACUAUGCCGACUAGGGAUCGGAUGAUGUUAAUUUUUAAUGACUCAUUCGGCGCCUUAAC